rnacentral:rRNA from 2 species
CAUAAACAUGCAAGUCGAGCGAACAGAUGAGAAGCUUGCUUCUCUGAUGUUAGCGGCGGACGGGUGAGUAACACGUGGGUAACCUACCUAUAAGACUGGGAUAACUCCGGGAAACCGGGGCUAAUACCGGAUAAUAUUUUGAACCGCAUGGUUCAAUAGUGAAAGACGGUUUCGGCUGUCACUUAUAGAUGGACCCGCGCCGUAUUAGCUAGUUGGUAAGGUAAUGGCUUACCAAGGCGACGAUACGUAGCCGACCUGAGAGGGUGAUCGGCCACACUGGAACUGAGACACGGUCCAGACUCCUACGGGAGGCAGCAGUAGGGAAUCUUCCGCAAUGGGCGAAAGCCUGACGGAGCAACGCCGCGUGAGUGAUGAAGGUCUUCGGAUCGUAAAACUCUGUUGUUAGGGAAGAACAAAUUUGUUAGUAACUGAACAAGUCUUGACGGUACCUAACCAGAAAGCCACGGCUAACUACGUGCCAGCAGCCGCGGUAAUACGUAGGUGGCAAGCGUUAUCCGGGAAUUAUUGGGCGUAAAGCGCGCGUAGGCGGUUUCUUAAGUCUGAUGUGAAAGCCCACGGCUCAACCGUGGAGGGUCAUUGGAAACUGGGAAACUUGAGUGCAGAAGAGGAGAGUGGAAUUCCAUGUGUAGCGGUGAAAUGCGCAGAGAUAUGGAGGAACACCAGUGGCGAAGGCGGCUCU